AUGAACGCUAGCUACAGGCUUAACACAUGCAAGUCGAGGGGCAGCAUGGUCUUAGCUUGCUAAGGCCGAUGGCGACCGGCGCACGGGUGAGUAACACGUAUCCAACCUGCCGUCUACUCUUGGACAGCCUUCUGAAAGGAAGAUUAAUACAAGAUGGCAUCAUGAGUCCGCAUGUUCACAUGAUUAAAGGUAUUCCGGUAGACGAUGGGGAUGCGUUCCAUUAGAUAGUAGGCGGGGUAACGGCCCACCUAGUCUUCGAUGGAUAGGGGUUCUGAGAGGAAGAUCCCCCACAUUGGAACUGAGACACGGUCCAAACUCCUACGGGAGGCAGCAGUGAGGAAUAUUGGUCAAUGGGCGAGAGCCUGAACCAGCCAAGUAGCGUGAAGGAUGACUGCCCUAUGGGUUGUAAACUUCUUUUAUAAAGGAAUAAAGUCGGGUAUGGAUACCCGUUUGCAUGUACUUUAUGAAUAAGGAUCGGCUAACUCCGUGCCAGCAGCCGCGGUAAUACGGAGGAUCCGAGCGUUAUCCGGAUUUAUUGGGUUUAAAGGGAGCGUAGAUGGAUGUUUAAGUCAGUUGUGAAAGUUUGCGGCUCAACCGUAAAAUUGCAGUUGAUACUGGAUAUCUUGAGUGCAGUUGAGGCAGGCGGAAUUCGUGGUGUAGCGGUGAAAUGCUUAGAUAUCACGAAGAACUCCGAUUGCGAAGGCAGCCUGCUAAGCUGCAACUGACAUUGAGGCUCGAAAGUGUGGGUAUCAAACAGGAUUAGAUACCCUGGUAGUCCACACGGUAAACGAUGAAUACUCGCUGUUUGCGAUAUACGGCAAGCGGCCAAGCGAAAGCGUUAAGUAUUCCACCUGGGGAGUACGCCGGCAACGGUGAAACUCAAAGGAAUUGACGGGGGCCCGCACAAGCGGAGGAACAUGUGGUUUAAUUCGAUGAUACGCGAGGAACCUUACCCGGGCUUAAAUUGCAGAUGAAUUACGGUGAAAGCCGUAAGCCGCAAGGCAUCUGUGAAGGUGCUGCAUGGUUGUCGUCAGCUCGUGCCGUGAGGUGUCGGCUUAAGUGCCAUAACGAGCGCAACCCUUGUUGUCAGUUACUAACAGGUUCUGCUGAGGACUCUGACAAGACUGCCAUCGUAAGAUGUGAGGAAGGUGGGGAUGACGUCAAAUCAGCACGGCCCUUACGUCCGGGGCUACACACGUGUUACAAUGGGGGGUACAGAGGGCCGCUACCACGCGAGUGGAUGCCAAUCCCAAAAACCUCUCUCAGUUCGGACUGGAGUCUGCAACCCGACUCCACGAAGCUGGAUUCGCUAGUAAUCGCGCAUCAGCCACGGCGCGGUGAAUACGUUCCCGGGCCUUGUACACACCGCCCGUCAAGCCAUGGGAGCCGGGGGUACCUGAAGUGCGUAACCGCGAGGAGCGCCCUAGGGUAAAACUGGUGACUGGGGCU
rnacentral:rRNA from 1 species